rnacentral:tRNA from 1 species
GCAGCUAGACCGUGCGUCGGUAUUCUGCGGACUGUAAAUCCGUCGGCUUACGCCUACGCAGGUUCGAAUCCUGCACCUGCCA